GUCUACAGCUUUACAGGAAAGGGAGGUAGACAUGCGCAGUUUGGCACGCUCUCAGGCCAUACCAGUCACGGAAGUAGACACAUGCAGUUAGGAGUGCUCCCAGGCCAUUCCAGACACGGAAGUAAACAUGCGCAGUUAGGAGUACUCCCAGGCCAUACCAGGCAAGGGAGGUAGACAUGCGCAGUUAGGCGUGCUCUCAGGCCAUACCAGGCAGGAAAGUAGACAUAUGCAGUUAGGAGUACUCCCAGGUCAUAUCUGCAUGCCCAGAAGUGACAGUGAGAAGGAAAAACUUUCAAUUAUUUAUAUCAUCUCCUUUGUUUCUACGUCAGCUGCCUCAGAUUAGUCAAAGUAUGGAGGCACCAAGGAAGGACAUGUCCCACUCCAACUCUGGCUGCACUCCUUGACCCCAACAUGGACUGGAAAAGACUUCUCUCUUGUGAAUGAGUAUGCUUUGGUGUCACAGAAGAGGAGCUACGGAUGCUGAGUGCCCACAUACCAACUGCAUUGCUGCCUGAACAUACACACACCAGGGAAUCAUGAAGUCGACUCCCAUAUAGCCCAUGACAGACCGUGUAGAAUUAAACUGUCACAUUGAACAUAUAUGGCAGAAGCAUGCCUAAGUUCACUCUGAGAGAAACCUGGGUAUGUGGAUACCAGGAACACAAACAAGAUGUUCAAUAAAAAUUACAAACG